CCGCAGACAACAGGCACCUGCUGAGUGCCAGGCCCUGAGCACCGAGUGUGGGGUCGGCUCCCUCUGCCAGGGGCGUAGAGCCGCUCUCUGGAGCCAACACCAAAGCAGAAGAGCCCAGAAGCUAGAUCUGCCGUGACAGGUGCUCGGAUGCUGCCUAACUGGCCGCCUCAGCCCUCCCCAGCGUGGGUCCCGCGGACUCUGGCUGCCCGCCCCCCCCCCCAGAGGCCGGUGGGCUGUGCGUUCCCCAGGCGUUCCCAGGCCAGCUGCUGGCUCCGCUUCCCGCUUAGAGCCACCCUGGCCACGCGGACGCGGCCACCCAGGGUUCGCCGCGGGCCGGCGGCGGGGGCCAGCAGGAGGCAGCGGGGGCAGGCAGAGGGCAGGAGCGGGGCACGCGGGACGGACGGACGGACGGACGCUGCCACAGGACUCAGGAUCACCGGCAUCUUCCCGCCUUCGGGCCGUCCCGGCCCCUCCCGGGCGGGCAGCGGGGCCAAUUCCCACAGUGGGCUUGGGUAGGAAGGAGCCGGGCGGGCUGCCCCGCCGAGAGGCGCAGCCCCCGCCCGCCCUAUCCCCUCGAGCUCCGCCCUGCUCUCGACUCUCCGGACUUGGACAUGGCUGGAGAGCCCGGGCCGGGCCCUGCGCACCCGGGCCUCAAGCGGCCUCAGGGCACUGCCAGCCCCUGUAGGGUGUAUGAAUACCAAAGGAUCCCUCCACUCAUCAACCGCGUGCCUGUCAGGAUCCGGAGGACCCAGGUGGGCAUGGGGGUCAAAAGCAGCUUCCGUCUUCACACGGGCCCCAGGAAGAGCCACCUGCCCCGGGAGCAAAUAAAGCUCCCGACUGAGGAGCUGCACUCCAUCAGGGGGGAGCUGAGUCAGAUCAAAGCCCAAGUGGACCGUCUAUUGGAGAAUCUGGAGCACAUGGGCCAGCAGAGGGACCAGCUUCCAACUGGGGGCCCGGGACACACUCCCAGGUCAGAGGACAGUGAAGAAAACAGAGGUCCAGAACUCCAGCAGGAGCCCCAGGGCCAGAAGGCCCAUCCAGAAGCAGACAGCUCUGAGGACAGCACAGACCCAAAGGAGGCAGUGAGUGGCCUGGCACCUCCCCCAUCCUCACCCUCCUUGCGUUUGGGUCCUUGUGGCUUCCCUGUGAACAAGGGAGAGACUCAGGUUUGUGCAGGAGCCCACAGUGGUGGCUGAGGGGACACAGGACUUCUGCCACAUGCAAUUCCCAGAAGAUGGCCCUGCACUGCUUUUUAUUCCCUCUCAUCUCGGGCUUGACGGC
rnacentral:lncRNA from 12 species